GACAGAGGGUGCAAGCGUUGUUCGGAUUUACUGGGCGUAAAGGGCGCGUAGGCGGCCUGUGCAAGUCAGUUGUGAAAUCUCCGGGCUUAACUCGGAACGGUCAACUGAUACUGCUCGGCUAGAGUGCGGAAGGGGCAACUGGAAUUCUUGGUGUAGCGGUGAAAUGCGUAGAUAUCAAGAGGAACACCUGCGGCGAAGGCGGGUUGCUGGGCCGACACUGACGCUGAGGCGCGAAAGCUAGGGGAGCGAACGGG
rnacentral:rRNA from 1 species